UUGAACUGAUCUAUCAAUGCUGGGUGAAAGACAGCAGCAGGAAAACUGACAACCAGCAUUUUCACUGGCCUACCACGGACUGAAACAGGGAUCUGUAGGGCUGUGUGCAAGCUGCUAUGUCUUGCUUAAACAGAAUGGAACCUUAAAGCUUGGGAUGGGAACAACUCACGUAAUCUCUGAACUGGCAGAGAGGGAACCCAUCAUACCUUUUCACACCCAAGUGACAUAGACUUAAUGACUCUAUGUGUAGAGGUAUACCGGACUUAUAAAAUACUAUGUAACCAAGAAUAACACACCUGGAUUGGACUGGACCUUCUGACAACUCAACAAGAUUUACCGGGGGGUCAUAAGACAAGAUGGAUUCCUAGGUAUCAUUGAAAUACAAAGAGUUUCCAGUAUUGAUGUUGGAUAGCCCUGAAUGCCAGUUCUUAAUUUUAUGGCAAGGUGUACUGAAAGAAGAAAAAGGAAUCCUAAAGAACAUUAAACUUCUCAUUGCCCACUCUUAACCCCCACUAUCUCUAGAACACUACUUAGUAAAAAUCCAGAAGGUGGCAUCAAUUA